GAUCGAUGGCUACGACGGACGACGCUGGCGGCGUGCCUAACACAUGCAAGUCAACGGGGUAAUUCCUUCGGGGGAUUACUUAGUGGCGAACGGGUGAGUAACGCGUGAGAAACCUGCCUUUCAGUGGGGGACAACAGUUGGAAACGACUGCUAAUACCGCAUAAUGCAUAUUGAUCGCAUGGUCGAUAUGCCAAAGAUUUAUCGCUGAAAGAUGGCCUCGCGUCUGAUUAGCUAGUUGGUGAGGUAAACGGGCCCCACCAAGGCGACGAUCAGUAGCCGGACUGAGAGGUUGACCGGCCACAUUGGGACUGAGACACGGCCCAGACUCCUACGGGAGGCAGCAGUGGGGAAUAUUGCACAAUGGGGGAAACCCUGAUGCAGCGACGCCGCGUGAAGGAAGAAGGUUUUCGGAUCGUAAACUCCUGUCCUCAGGGAAGAGCAGAAGACGGUACCUGAGGAGGAAGCCCCGGCUAACUACGUG
rnacentral:rRNA from 1 species